UAAGCGUGCACGUGCAAAUGCACGUCUCAACUAAUAUAUAUGUAAGAAUUAACAUACCAAGAAAGAUAUUUUGAUUGCACUAAAAAGUACUAUUAUAAAUCAAGAAGACACUUCAAUGUAUCAUCGACUCAUCAUAUUCAUAGAGCCAAAAAAUUAUAGCAGUAUUUCCUGAUGAAGCUGAUCAAUUCUCUUAAACAUCCGAAAUGUUGUGUGUAGCUUCACUGUUGAUGUAGUUGAGUAGGUGCACCAAAAAUUGCUUCCUUAUCUGGUCACCAUCCUGAAUGAAAAUAGCAAGUCAAUCUAAGUUUUUGCAUAGAACAUAAAAUCAUGAAAUAAUGAAUAUUGACCCUGCAAAUUGGUUGAUUUAGUUCCUUCGCAUUCCAUGAGUGCAAUAAACUAAAAGCAAAAUAAUCAGACCAGUUCUUGUAGAUAUAUGCAUUAUCAUUAUCUUGAGCGUUAGAAAAACUAAAUAAUAUGCUUUAGUGGUUUGAAAGGUAGUCAGUUGUCUUUGUUUUUUGGAACACGAGCUGGUAAUCGACGACGGCAGAAGAAAAAAAGACAUCAUCCCAUUCAGGAUUUGCUACUUGGGGUGUGCUUUAGGUAUAAUGAGAUGCACAUCUUUCAGAGUUGGAACUCGGUGGGCAUCAACUCUCUUGCGCAUCAUACUAAACACGAGCAAGAAACUUAAGCAUGCGAUAAGAGAGGAAAGAAUUCAUACAAGUUGAUUUAAUUUGGAAAGGCUUAUGCAUCACAUUGAUACUAUAGACUCCAUAUACCAAGCAUCAUGUCGAAACCACAGUGAGUACUUACAACAUCUUAACAUUAGAACAUUGUACGCAAUAUCCCAUUGAUGUCACAAUCAGUAUAAUAAAACAGAAAAUCACAUCUAAUCCCAUAAAAGAUUACAUUUGCUAAGUGCAAUGUCUGAACGGAUAGCAGCAUAUGAUUAUUCAAGAGGGACAUCACUUUGCUAAACAAAAAAUGUAAGUGAUACAGAAAAAUAAGUAUAUCAAAAAUAUGAAUGGAACUAUGCUCCAACAAAAGUAUAAAACGAAUGAAUCAAAAGCAAAGCCUGCUUAUGAGCUUGUUCAUUUAGAUUGAUACCGGUAGCUAGUUCCUUACGUGCAGAUGUAUUCUCUUGAGAAACAUGACACCUUAAAAACUAUACACGGGACACUGUAUAUUGAACUCAACAACAAAAGUUUGGGUUCUAUUAAGUUGAAUAUCAUCAACCUAACUUGGAAACAUAAAAUUGUUACUGCCAGAGUUCGUACUUCCAUAUAUGUUGUGCCUCCUUUCGUCUUCUCUACAAUUGGGUACUCGAGAUUGAAGCUGAUUCUACCUCCAACCUUUACUGGGACAAAAAAAGACCAUUUCACUGUCGAGAAUUACAACAGUGCUCAGUUUCAUCAACUAUUCAUUUCUCAUAUUCAUUACUCUAGUAAUGGUUACUUUGCUCCUAAACUGGCAGUACUCCCACUGUACAUGUUUUGGAUGUUUUUUGGCUUUCAAAAUCGAUUGCUGCUUGUGGUGUUAUCAAAUUUCCAAAAAAAGCACCAGCUGCAAUCAAGAAUAGUACAUUACCUAUCCACUUUUUUAAAAGGACAUUACAUAUCCACUUAAUUCACAAGACAGUCCUACAGAAAUCAAGUCAUUUUUUCCUCUACUAAUGUAUACAGGAAGCAGCAUUUUUUCAGGUUCAAUCAUGACUACCUCUUUGUGAGGCAGGUAAGCCAGGAACCCGUCGGCUGCUCCGCUCCCACUGCUGGGGAGUGGUGAGGUGGAACACCGAAUGAGGAGGGUAGCGAAUGAACCACUGUGAAUUUUUAACAUCAUAAGAUAUUUAUGUACUGCAAAUAUUCUGAAAUUUGUACACCGGCCAGUAUGCACUCUCUAGCAAGCAACCAAAUAUUCUGAAAUAUGUACAGCAGCCAGUAUGUACAACAACCAGUCUUCAGGGAUAGCUAGCACCCAAUGAACUAUUUUAUGAAAAAACAAUCAGUGAAUAUGAUACCGCAAUUGUUGCCUCUAAAACAAAAUCACUAAGUUGUAGUUUACAAAUUAUGAUGCUAUACAUGUCACCAAUUAUCUAGCUUCCUACGGCACUAACUUCUUACCAGUUGACACCGAAGCGCCUAGUUGAGUUUUGACACACCCUCGUUGGAGGACCUCUUUGAACUCUAACUGUACCAACAACUGCCUUCUCAGUUAAAACAUGGUGCGCCCAAACUGCAGUGCAACGGAAAAAAUCAAUCACUUUGCCAAAAGGUCGGAAUAACUCUGGCAAAAAUGAUUCCAGUUGUAAAACGUGAAUGCUGCCGAACUAACUUGUUUAUUUGUAACCAAUCUCACUUGUUUUAAUACCAGAAAAGUUUAUGCAUUUAAUAUAAAAAAUACACAAUAUAUGCACAGCCAUACAUUAUCCACCCUAAAUGAAGCUUAAUUCCACAAAAGGAUUAUCUUCAUCAUUAGCAUUAGAAAGGGGAUAAAAAUCUUACAUGUAAAGCAACAUCCUAUGACAGAGUACACGCCAAUGAAUUAUGUAUUAUUUAAACUUCCUGACAGGACACAAAAUAACUUGGUAUGAAUGUUCAUGAUAUUCAUUAUGUGAUCGAGUGGCGGAAAAAAUGGUGUACGAAAUGUUAAUGGAAUACCUUAUGUGGACUUUGGAACUGCAAUAUGAUGCAGGCAACGAACAAGUAUAGUAGAUAAAAAUUCUCCAGCUUCCAUGGCACCGAUAUGGUCAAAAUAAUAACCAUGUAUUCCCUCAUGUGCAGUAACAAUAGCAUCAAUCUGGAAACCUACUGCAUCGCUGUGGUGAUUCGCAACAGAACCACAUGUUUCUUCUUGCGUCAUGCAACAUUAGUCUCUGCAAAUCUAACAUAUUGAAUUUGAGAGUACGCCCAUGGAGCGGAGGUUGAUGAUAGCAGCCGCAUCCUCCCGUGGGAAGAGUGGGGUGGCGACGACGGAUCACGCCUUGCCGGCGAAGUCCAAGGGAGGCGGCAGAUCCCGCUGUUCAAGGGCGUCCUGCGGCUUCAGUACAUGUUGCAU
rnacentral:lncRNA from 1 species